CUUAAAACCCACGUCGGGAGCCGCGAAGAGCGGUCUCCUCGGCAGUUUGAGCGCACGGCAAACAGCAGGAAUACCCAAUAAAUGCCUCCAGCAAAACUCACAGAAAAACUGUUCACCAGCCCGCGCGCCGGGCCAGGGAGAGACGCUUCGCGAACCCUCUGGCGGAGGGAUCCGUGAGCCGGAGUCUCGAGCAGAGGUACAGUGUUAGUGAGGAUUCGGAGAUAAAUGAGACUUGACCCAAGACCCCAAAGAACUCAUGGUUUAAGUUGGAAAAAAGGAUGCAUAGACAGACAAAACAGUACGAGUGCAACCUUAUGAUACAGGUGCUAGGAUUCCAAGGGAUGAUAUGAGAUUGGAAAGUUUAAGAAGCUCUUGGGUCACAAUGAAAGAAACUGACCCUAGGAUGAAUGGAGCGAACGAUAUAGGUGAUGAGAAGAGGUACCAAAGAAUAUACGUCCUUCAUGAGAUUAUCCAGAUGCUAAACUAACCUUGCAGUAUGUACUAUGACUGGAUGACCUA